GGUGGAGCUCCCCAGUCGAGCAAGGGAGGAAGCCCCGCCCCUUCCCCUUACCGGGAAAAGGAAGGGGGAGGCGUAACUAGGGCCGGCUUCCCUAACAGCUGAAUACACUCCCUAACGUGCCCGGCCCGGACUUCCUGAAGAGAGAGUCGACCCAAACACACCUUGGUCUCCCCACUGCUGUCCGACUCCGACACCUGUGUCUGGUGUGAUGGGAGAUGGAGUAGAUCAGCAGCAGGUACUCCCCUGUCAUGAGCCCAGGAAGGGGACCUUCAAGGAUGGACCCACAGAUAGCAUCCUCACUCCCAAUAAAGUUCCAUGACCCCCCUUUGGAAGCAGUCUGGCUUCUAUAUGGGACAGAC